rnacentral:rRNA from 1 species
AAGUCGAACGAGCCCUUCGGGGUUAGUGGCGCACGGGUGCGUAACGCGUGGGAAUCUGCCCUUGGGUUCGGAAUAACUCGCCGAAAGGCGUGCUAAUACCGGAUGAUGUCGAAAGACCAAAGAUUUAUCGCCCAAGGAUGAGCCCGCGUAAGAUUAGGUAGUUGGUGAGGUAAAGGCUCACCAAGCCGACGAUCUUUAGCUGGUCUGAGAGGAUGAUCAGCCACACUGGGACUGAGACACGGCCCAG